AUUAACAACCUGAGACGGCUCACCGUGAGGUUUUAGUAAAUCUGUGAUGCUCACGGUGUAUCCGUGAGAGUUGGCAACUAUGUAUAAUAGUAGGCUACUGCAUGUGUAAAUCCAUAUAAUUAUAUUAAUAAUAGUGCAUGUGAGUAUGCUUGGCUUGUGAUGGUGUUUAUUUAACCAAACUUUAAACGAUUCCGUAGAGAGGUUUUCGUAUUUGCAUGCACUAAAUGAGUUGUGUAAUGGACUAUCCCAGAAUACGGCUCCUCUGUAUGAAAAAUUGCGUUGUAAAAAGUUUGUUGAUGGCUUAUUUAAGUGAAGCAUUGCUUCUAUAAGUAGAAAAAUUGCCGGAUAUGAUAUCAUUCAGAUGAUGUUUAGCAGCAAAAAACAAGGAAAGGUAUAAAUAGUUUAUAAUUCAUGUAUAAAAUGACAUUAUAUCCUAUAAGUCCUAUAAUCUAUAUCGCGGUCCGGUAAUUUUGACCAUGGCAAAGUAUAGACUAAGAUUAGCCCUUUUACUAUAAAGAUAUAUUACAUUUCUCCUUAGAUUGACCCGAAUAUUAUCCAGACCAAAAAUAUAUUUAAAGUUUAACUUGUGACUUUAACAGAGACUAGGGUCGGGAAUUGCAUGACUUGCUUAUACGAUGCAUGCACCUGUUUUUCAAUUUGAUAAAUUGAUGUUAUAAUUUUAUCGAAAAGAUUUGAAAAUUAAAUACUUCGACAUUGUCUGCGUGCAUGAUAUAUUGUGCCAACAUUAUAGGUGUGGGUAUACAUAGGCCUAUAUUGGCAAGUGUCGAUGCAUGAGAAUUGAGAAACCCUUUUGCCUUGUUGGCAUAUUGGAAUGUCAAAAAUAACACCAGGGCGUGACGUAAAACACCGAUCUUCAUCAGGGCAAAUAUAACAUUGUUAGCAAUAGCGACUAGAUCCAGACUUAUCUAGAAUUAUCUUUGUAUAAAAUAAGCGUGAUGUUUCAAGAAAAAAAAAUUUCGAUAUGCAAAAAUGUUUUCGAUAUGCAAUCAAACCCUGCAUGCAGAUAAUGCCAAGUUCCUUUUUCUCCUGCCUUCGUUCAUACAGAACAAAGUACUCCCGACGAAUUUUGCCAAAGGCAGAAGAACGAAGACGGGAUAUGGAUUCAUGGACGUCUCGUUGUUUUGUCAGGGUAUUAAGGAUUCGAGUCAGCAUUCAUAAACAGCUAGGCACAGAGUGAAUUUGAAUGAUGGAAUUUGCCCAUUGUAUAAUUUAUGCUUGAUACUUAACUGAAUUAAUGAAUUGACUUAAUUCGCUGGCGCAGCAUUUGAGUGUCCUCUAGUUAAUUAGUUAGAUUACGCUGUGCGGUUUUCCGUCUAGAAAAUGUAUAUGCUGUGACUUGCUAUCACACGCCAGGUUCCCUUCUGCAACAACAAAUGUUCCUUGUGCAUGCACGCACAUGAUAUAUUUAUGACACGUAAAAAUAUUUUAAAAUUUAUCAAUAUUACUAAAUGCCCAAAUUAUAUGUUUUUUCCUAUGGUGCAACAUGUAAUUGCAUAAAAUGCAUUGUUGGUGCAUAAAAUGUUACCGUAACCAAACCUAUUGCAUGUUGUUUUUAAAUGUGUAUAUGUGUGUAUGAAUAUAUGUUUGCGUAACAUUACCUGUACAUUUGUAAAUCGUACGUUUUGUUAUUUUGGGAUGACAGUAAUUGGCCAAAAGCUGUUGUGAAUGAUUCCCCGCAUAAUUUAUAAUGUUAUAUAUGUCAUUGUUAUUUGUUAUGUAAUCUUAAAGGACAUUGGCAACCAAAAUUUUUAUUACUUAUAUCUAUUAGGUAUACUUACGGAAUAUUUAAUUUCAUAUUUUGGCUGGUUUGUCGCGUUUAGUUGCUGAGAAAAUUUGAUUGAAUUUCAGAAAAUUUGAACAGUUGUCCGCCAUUUUGAAAAUAAGCGCGUAUGCUAAUUUAUGCCACAAAAUACAUUAUCUGAC